rnacentral:lncRNA from 1 species
UGGCAGCUUUAUUUUUUCAGAAGAUGUUUAGGGUGAAUGUGGCUCUUACCUCUGAAACAAAUGCAGGACAAAAUGAGGCCACAGAUCAGAGGGCAAGAGAACUUCAUUUCGAAGCGUUUAAUCACAAAUCCAAACUAAGGCUUCCUGCAAGAAGAUGGCAACAGCAUCCUGACAUGAAAUCAUCAAUGCAGCACCACACAGCGGUUUACCUUAGAUUUCUGACAGAAACGAGAGCAGGAGAAGACGAUGAUCUCAUCUUCAAGUCAAGAGCCUUCAUAUAGCCGUAUGCACCUGCUCUUACACUGUCUCCUAGCAACCAGAGCGCCAGAGACAGAGAUUGAUUCUUCAGCCGCUUUAUGAGUAUUGUGUGUCUGAUCAUGGCGGUUAAAUGUUGGCUAAUUGAAUUUGUUGUUUUUUUUUUUUUUGCUCACAUCUCACAGCUCGAGUGCUCCCAAAAUCAUCCUCACAGGCAUUGUAGCCAAGACUGUUUAAUUCAAUUCACUUCCAUUCUGAGAUUCUAGUAACAGAGAUUAACAUAAUAUUUAUAAACAUACAAUGACCAAGCUAAAUGUAAUUAUAAAGCACAUAUGAAUGAAGCAAAACAUAGACAUUCAUGUUCUUGAAUAUGAAAUCAAACUAGACCCUACUGACUUGGUAUUAUUGUAUACAAUUCAUUAUUUUUUCAUUGUAAAGAAAAAAAUGUUUGUUUUCAUAGUCUUUUCCCAAAAUUACACCAAGAAAUAAAUCUCAAUAUGUCUCCAUUAAUUUCUAGUCUUUAAAAUCAAUAUGAAAUCCAAACUGAGUCUAUUUAUUUUUUAUACACGUUCCUAUCAGUGUUAUUUUAGUAUCUUUGAGAUAUUACUACAGUUUAAUUCAUUUUAAUCUCAUUUUGAAUUAGUUUUAUUUUUAGAUUUUGUUUUCAUUUUAAUUUUAGCUAAAGAUUUAGUAAUUUUGUUGUCUGUUUUCAUCUUUUUUAGUAGACUUUGUAUUUUUAUAUAUGUCUAUAUCGUUUUUAUGAACUUUAUUUUGGUUUUAGUUUUAGUUCUUUUAAUACAUCAAGUUAUGUUAAAACUCAAUUUAAAUGGAAAAUGUUUCUUUGGCAACUAGCUGAAAUAAAAUGUUUAUUUUAUUUCAAGUAACUAAAAUGUUUUUAAAGGUUUUUAGUUUCAGUUUUAGUUUUAGUUAACUAUAAUAACCCUAAUAUAAUUUAUGUACAAUUCAUGUGCACGCACUUAUAAAAAAAAAAAAAGAAAGAAAUAUUUAAAAAAAAUGUAAAUAUAUAUACAUUAAUUUAAACAAACAAAAUCUUUAAAAAAAAAAAUAGUAUUCAAAUUAUUACCUUCUCUACUGAUAUAAUAAAGGCCCUGUGUGUAGAAAAAAUAUUAAUAUUUAAUAAUAUUUAUUAGCAAUAUUACAGCCUAACAUGUUUCAACUGAAUCAAAUGCCAAUGUGCAAAUUAAAGUCCCGUGUGUCAUUAUUUCUCAACAAAUAUUCCCUCCCUCCGAAAUACCUCACAAUACCAAAGUUAAACUUGUUGUGAAUGCUGUUUUAUGUUUGAAUUAUGCAAAUGUGCUCAAAAGCUGAUGUAAGGUCGCCUGUACGUUUAAUUGUUUCUCAGUCCUGCUGUUUGAGAACCUGAUAAAUAAUUCACACAACUUUAGGGGGGAAUGUCUCCCUUGACGGACAUUGUAUGAAAAAGAAAAUCAACUCAGGGAAAGGAAGUGUAUUUUCUUUAAUUCCCAACGGGAAACUCCACAGAGAUGUUUGUGUCAACACCGAACUUAAAUUAUUUGGACAACAUUAGACUCCCUACAGCAGUAAAAAUCAUUUUUUGAAUAAAACAUUAGUGUUUUUGCCCAUGCAAAACUCGUCACUGUAAUGUAUAAGGAUUUGUAAGUUUCGAACAGGAAGUGAGUACACAUAUAAAUCACUACUUAAGUUCCUUUACAGCACAGGAUUGAUGUUGCCCUCUGAAUGAACUUCCUGCCUCUAUAAUUUCCACCUUUGAAUUGAUGAACUCUCUGAUAUGAAGACAUUUACCUUCAUUUCCUCUCUCUUGCUCAGUGUCUGUGCUAUGGGGCAGAAACAGUAAAGUAAGAAGAUAUUAGAUACUAACAAAUAUCAUUAAGCGUGUACACACACACACACACACACACACAAUCGUUCCCACAUAAGGCGUAUUUAGACUUCCCGACUAAGUACUGUCUUUUACUGUCACAACUAUUAAUCACUGUACAGCAGCACACNNNNNNNNNNNNNNNNNNNNNNNNNNNNNNNNNNNNNNNNNNNNNNNNNNNNNNNNNNNNNNNACACACACACACACACACACACACACACACACACACACACACACACACACACACACACACACACACACACACACACACACACACACACACACACACACACACACACACACACACACACAGCUGUUCAUGAAGUCCCAAAGGGUGCAGUGUCUUUUGGGAUGCAGUCCUUCGUGAGUUAGAUUUUUAUCCACCUCAGAAACUCCCACGUUCACUCCCAUAAAUGAAAAUUAGCUGAAAAUGUUCUCACCCUCAGGCCAUUUAAGAUGUAGAUGAAUUUGUUUCUUCAUCAAAUUUGGAGAAAUGUAGCAUUACAUCACUUGCUCAUCAGUGAAAUGUAGCAUUACAUCACUUGCUCAUCAGUGGAUCCUCUGCAGUGAAUGGGUGCCGUCAGAAUGAGAGUCCAAACAGCUGAUAAAAACAUCACAAUAAUCCACAAGUAAUCCACACCACUCCAGUCCAUCAGUUAAUGUCUUGUGAAGUGAAACGUUUUGUGUUUGUAAGAAACAAAUUUAUCAUUAAGACAUUUUAACUUCAAACAUUUGCUUCUGGCCAAAAUUUGAGUCCAUAAUUCAUAAUUACGUUUCCUCCAGUGAAAAAGUCUAUCUGCUGUUCUCUCACAUCAAAAUACACCCACAUAUUUGUAUUUAACUGUUUUGGACUGUUGUUUUUUGCUUGUAAAUGGUGCUUGAUCUGCAUAUUUCUCUCCUGAUUCAGAUGAGACGUUAUCUUUUAUUUAUUUUUAUUUUUACUGGAAAAAGCAAUAUUAUAGUUAGAGACUUGUAUUUUGGCAAGAAGCAACGGUUUGAGGUUAAAAACAUCUUAAUGAUGGAUUAGUUUCUUACAAACACGCAGCUUAGUUUCUUACAAACACGCAGCUUUUCACUUCACGAGAUGUUAAUUGUUGGACUGGAGUGGUGUGGAUAACUUGUGGAUUAUUGUGAUGUUUUUAUCAGCUGUUCAGACUCUCAUUCUGAUGGUACUCAUUCACUGCAGAGCAUCCAUUGGUGAGCAAGUGAUCUAAUGAUAAAUUUCUCCAAAUAGGAUGUAAAAACAAACUCAUUUGCAUCCUGGAUGGCCAGA